AUUAGGAAUCUUGCGCAAUGGGCGAAAGCCUGACGCAGCGACGUCGCGUGACCGAUGAAGUCUUUCGGGAUGUAAAGGUCUUUUGCAGGGGAAGAAGGAUGUGACGGUACCCUGCGAAUAAGCCCCGGCUAACUACGUGCCAGCAGCCGCGGUAAUACGUAGGGGGCGAGCGUUGUCCGAAUUUACUGGGCGUAAAGCGCGCGUAGGCGGGCUGCUAAGUUGGGGGUGAAAUCCCGGGGCUCAACCCCGGAACUGCCUCCAAAACUGUCAGCCUUGAGGUAUGGAGAGGGAAGUGGAAUUCCUGGUGUAGCGGUGAAAUGCGUAGAUAUCAGGAGGAACACCUGUGGCGAAGGCGGCUUCCUGGCCAUAUCCUGACGCUGAGGUGCGAAAGCUAGGGGAGCGAACGGGAUUAGAUACCCCAGUAGUCC
rnacentral:rRNA from 1 species